GUCCACGCCAUAAACGAUGAGAGCUAGCUGUUGGAGGGUUUACUCUUCAGUAGCGCAGACAACUCGAUAAGCUCUCCGCCUGGGGAGUACGGUCGCAAGAUUAAAACUCAAAGGAAUUGACGGGGGCCCGCACAAGCGGUGGAGCAUGUGGUUCAAUUCGAAGCAACGCGCAGAACCUUACCAACCCUUGACAUGUCCCGUAUGGCCUUCAGAGAUGAGGGCCUUCACUUCGGGUGGCGGGAACACAGGUGCUGCAUGGCUGUCGU
rnacentral:rRNA from 1 species